rnacentral:rRNA from 1 species
UACCCUGGUAGUCCACGCUGUAAACGAUGUCGACUUGGAGGUUGUGCCCUUGAGGUGUGGCUUCCGGAGCUAACGCGUUAAGUCGACCGCCUGGGGAGUACGGCCGCAAGGUUAAAACUCAAAUGAAUUGACGGGGGCCCGCACAAGCGGUGGAGCAUGUGGUUUAAUUCGAUGCAACGCGAAGAACCUUACCUGGUCUUGACAUCCACGGAAGUUUUCAGAGAUGAGAAUGUGCCUUCGGGAACCGUGAGACAGGUGCUGCAUGGCUGUCGUCAGCUCGUGUUGUGAAAUGUUGGGUUAAGUCCCGCAACGAGCGCAACCCUUAUCCUUUGUUGCCAGCGGUCCGGCCGGGAACUCAAAGGAGACUGCCAGUGAUAAACUGGAGGAAGGUGGGGAUGACGUCAAGUCAUCAUGGCCCUUACGACCAGGGCUACACACGUGCUACAAUGGCGCAUACAAAGAGAAGCGACCUCGCGAGAGCAAGCGGACCUCAUAAAGUGCGUCGUAGUCCGGAUUGGAGUCUGCAACUCGACUCCAUGAAGUCGGAAUCGCUAGUAAUCGUGGAUCAGAAUGCCACGGUGAAUACGUUCCCGGGCCUUGUACACACC